AGGCUAAAACUCAAAGGAAUUGACGGGGGCCCGCACAAGCGGCGGAGCAUGCGGAUUAAUUCGAUGCAACGCGAAGAACCUUACCAAGGCUUGACAUACACUGGACCGUUCUGGAAACAGUUCUUCUCUUUGGAGCUGGUGUACAGGUGGUGCAUGGUUGUCGUCAGCUCGUGUCGUGAGAUGUUGGGUUAAGUCCCGCAACGAGCGCAACCCUCGUUCUAUGUUGCCAGCACGUGAUGGUGGGAACUCAUAGGAGACUGCCGGGGUCAACUCGGAGGAAGGUGGGGAUGACGUCAAAUCAUCAUGCCCUUUAUGUCUUGGGCUUCACGCAUGCUACAAUGGCUGGUACAGAGAGAGGCGAACCCGUGAGGGUGAGCGAAUCCCUUAAAGCCAGUCUCAGUUCGGAUCGUAGUUUGCAAUUUGACUACGUGAAGUCGGAGUCGCUAGUAAUCGCAGAUCAGCAACGCUGCGGUGAAUACGUUCCCGGGCCUUGUACACACCGCCCGUCAAGUCACGAAAGUCGGUAACACCCGAAGCCGGUGUCCCAACCCCUUUUUUGGGGAGGGGGCCGUCUAAGGUGGGAUCUGGUGAUUGGGACUAAGUCGUAACAAGGUAGCCCGUACC
rnacentral:rRNA from 1 species